rnacentral:ribozyme from 1 species
AUGGAAAUAUACACACAAUCUACGAAUGAAGAAGAAAAGACAGAUGAAACUACACAAAUACAAGGCAAUUCAAGUGCGUAUCUAUUUUG